rnacentral:rRNA from 1 species
CCCUUAGAUGUUCGGGGCCGCACGCGCGCUUCACUGAAGGAAUCAGCACGUCUUUCUCCUUGUCCGAAAGGACUGGGUAACCCGCUGAACCUCCUUCGUGCUAGGGAUUGGGGCUUGUAAUUCUUCCCCAUGAACGAGGAAUUCCCAGUAAGCGCGAGUCAUAAGCUCGCGUUGAUUACGUCCCUGCCCUUUGUACACACCGCCCGUCGCUACUACCGAUUGGGUGGUUUAGUGAGAUCCUCGGAUUGGUCCCGGAGCGGCCUCUGGUCGUGCCGGAGUGCCGAAAAGAAUGUCGAACUUGAUCAUCUAGAGGAAGGUGAAGUCGUAACA